rnacentral:rRNA from 1 species
UACGUAGGGUGCAAGCGUUGUCCGGAAUUAUUGGGCGUAAAGAGCUCGUAGGCGGUCUGUCGCGUCGGCUGUGAAAACCCGGAGCUCAACUCCGGGCCUGCAGUCGAUACGGGCAGACUGGAGUUCGGCAGGGGAGACUGGAAUUCCUGGUGUAGCGGUGAAAUGCGCAGAUAUCGGGAGGAACACCAGUAGCGAAGGCGACACUCUGGGCCGGUACUGACGCUGAGGAGCGAAAGCGUGGGGAGCAAACAGG